rnacentral:lncRNA from 1 species
ACGCAAAAAGCAAAAGAAAAGAAAAGCAAGAGAAAAUAGAGAGAGGUUCGGAUAUAAAAGAGAGAGAGGAGCAAGCUAGUUUUGAUUCUCCAAGAAAAUCAAGUAAGAAGAAGAAGCGAGAACAAGAAAGAAGAAACAAAAGGUAAAUCUAAAACCCUAACUUACAUUCAUCUCUUUAAAGCUUUAUAAAUUAGCUUGUUGGUGGUGGUUGUGGUUUAUGAUGUAAAUUAUAUGAUUAAACCAUGUAAUAAUGCAAGAAAAUGAACCUAUGCGUAAAGGAUGGAAAACAAUAGGGGACUGUUAGUGAGCUGUUUUGGGACCAUUUUGUUAUGAUGUCUCAAAUCUAAAAAUUAAGUUCUACGGUGUCAUGUUAUACUCUUAUGAGUCAUGAAAAAUUGAAAAUCACCCAAUUGGAACGGAAGUAAAAGAUUUUGUAACGAAAUCAUGGCGAAUUUUUAAGUAAAACUAGUUAAAAACGAAAUUAGUGUAACCCCUGACCCUUGAGCAGUUUUCUGUUUCAAUAGGUUGCUGGAAAAUUUUUCUGUUUUGGGGGUUAUGUAGUACGUUAUGUAACGAGUCCGUGAACGUAAGAAUGACCCCAUUCCGAGUCCGGAGGUGGGAGAUAUGCCCUUCAGAAGGAGACUAGUCAAAACUACAAAAAUCUGGAAAACUGUUUCGGGUAGGGACUUUUGAACCAAUAUUUCAGGAUUAGAAAUGAUAAUCCGCUUGGGGGAAGUUUUAGAAUGUUACGAGCUAGAAUACGGCUCAAGUACGGACUCAUUCCGAUAACGGAGGGUCAGGUUAUGACGUUGCGAAGUAGGUGCGACGAGCACGAAAGUUUGCUUGUUACUGCUUCAGGAGAGGAUGAGUUUUGAACUAAAGCAGAAACUUCGUGUCGUUAGUUUAAACUGUAUGGAUUAGCAAACAGUAAGAUUAAAACUAAAGCAGACACUUCGUGUCGUUAGUUUAAACUGUCUAGAUUAGCAGACAGUGAGUUUAAAGCUAAAGCAGACACUUCGUGUCGUUAGUUUAAACUUUCUAGAUUAACAGACGAGGGGUUUUUGAGCUAAAGCAGACGGUUUAAGUUGUCUACUUUAUACUUGUAACGAAAAAUGGAAAAAAUAAAAUAAAAGUUGGGCGUACUAAUUAAAUAAUAAAACGCAAACCAUAAGAGAUGAAAUGGAAUUAAAAAAGUUAUGGAAGGAAAUUUUUAAAAUAUAAGUAUAAAUUUAGGCGAAGCGGGAAGUAAACCAAAGUGUAUUGGUUUCCAAAAGCCGAGUAGUCGGGCAACAUUAUGUUAUGUUGUUUCGAACUAUACAAGAUGAGCGUAAUAAAAAUUAAUUAACGAAUGAUUUAAGAGGUCUUAAAUUAUUAAAUAUGAGCAUCAUAGGACUUUAGAAUUAAAGUCUAAACUAUGAACGAAGUUAAAAGAGAAAUAUAUCGGGGUAUAUGAAGUUAAGUACAUUGUGUCGAGUUAUAAAACCCGAUUCAUAAAUUAUGAAAUAAGCUAAAGUAAACCAAUAUUUGGGGUUAAUACUUUACUAAUUGGUAUGUUCAACCUUGAUGAUAUAUGUAGGUCAUUUGAAGAGCAAUAUAGUGUAAGUUGUAAAGUAGUAAGGCAAGUUUCCUAAACUUACUUGAAUUUUAUUGAGCAAGUUUUUAAUUCCUAUUUAAUCGUUGAUAUUAAGCAAGUUUCUUAACUUCAUUCAAAUUAUUGAAUUGAAUGCAAGUUUCAUGUCUUUGUGCAAACAUGGUAUAAUUGUACAAGGUGUUUAGCUACGAAUUGUUCUAUUAUUGAACUGUUUAAGUUGUUACAGUUCUAUUAAUGCAUGAGUUGAGUUAUGAUUUAGUCCAUGCUAAUUGUUUCAGUUGGGCACAUGUUAAGAUGUUACAUGAAAAUAAAGCAGAUUGUGUUAUGGCAAUGAUAUAGGCAUUGUUGAUGUCAAAUUGUAUGUUUUAAUAAAGAAAAAUAUGAAAGUCGGUUGUAGGACUAGUUAUUAAAGAUUGUGAUUUAGGAAUGAUAGGAAUUUAAGUUAUUCCUGUUUAUUCGAAUUGUUUCUCAACUAUUGUUUCGUUGAUGAAGUUUUCAGAUAAUACUAAAUUGAUCCUUGAUUUUGUUGUUUAUUCAACUGUUAUAACUUGUUGAGCAAUUAAAUGCUCAACCUUGCAAAACUCUAAAACUUUUGCAGUUAGAGCGGAUGGACUUGGAUAGUCAGGUGGUAUUAAGAGGAAGGAAUUGUUAAUAGUUUGUUGCAAUUAUAAUAUUUGUGCGAUGUAAUAUUUAUUAAUAUUAUAGUUUGAAGAUGUAAAGGUCUUAAAACCUGAGAUUUGCAGUGAUACGUUGUAAUAAUAUAUUAAUUACAUUCAUGUAUUAAGGUUAUGUUAAAUGGGUAGUACCUUGACUCACUGAACUCGGGUUUGGAAAUAGAUCGGGUUACAAGGGCCUUAUACUUGCCCACAUUAAUUGUAAAAUUACUAAAUUAAAGGGAAGGAAG